CUGGGAAUCCCGCACAGCUGGAAGGACCAGAACUUAUUGUGCAGCUCUGGCUCGCAGAUGGACGUUCUCCGCUGCCAAGCGGGGUUUGAAGACUCACAGGUGAGAAAGGUAUGAGUCUAGGGAAGAAGACAUCCAGCUGUGUCUCCAAGAAGAACGAACCCUCAUGAUUGGUGAACUUGACAGCUGGGAAGCUACAUAGAACUUGAAAGGGUAGUCUGUCAGAGCUGUCUUAUGAACCAUAAAAGAGGAAAAGGACACAGUUUCUGAUUAAAACAUAUCGAAAGGAAACUGGGUAGUUAUGGUCAUUACUGAGGAUGUUUGUGUGAGCAUGCAAGAACCACUGUCCACCAGUACAGUGACAAUCUUGGUGGUGGCAUGGAAGAAAGGAAUGUGUGUCUGAGAGUGAGGAGCAGUGAAUUGGUGGGUAGGCUUAUGAACCACAAUUGCACAGCUCACAGACUGUUGCUGAAGCAGGCAAAGGUGGCCAGCUAUGUUGGAUGCUGUCAUUACUGUGGGAAAAGAUGGUGACUUCAAUUCAAGACAUUCAAGACCCUCUCCAAUGAAGGUUUCAACUUGUGAAAAUGGAAAUCCAGUAGAAAAGAAAGAGGCUGCACAGAAUAUGCUACUACUAAAAAACAAUCACAUAGUGAAGUAUUUCCAAAGUUCAGUUGAGUUGGCAUAUAUACUGCACUACUGC
ensembl:lincRNA